AACAUGUCUUUUUGUUUAUAAUUUAAAGUCCAAUCUGCUCAAUGAGGAAUUAAAUAGCUGCAGUAUUUUGACUGUACAAAGGUAGCAUAAUCAUUAGUUUUUUAAUUAAAAGCUGGUAUGAAGGAUUUGAUAAGGUAAAUAUUGUCUCAAAUUUAUAAAUAGUAGAAUUUUUAUUUUAGUAAAAAUACUAAAAUGUUAUUAAAAGACGAGAAGACCCUAUAGAUUUUUAUAUUUAAAGUUUAGUUAUUUUAAAUAUAAUUAAUUAAUUAAAUUGAAAAAUAUUUGGUUGGGGAAAUUAUUAAAUUAAUAAAAUUUUAAUUUUUUAAGACUUUAAUUUAAGAAUAUUUGAUCUUAUAUUAUAGAUUAAAAGAAUAAAUUACCUUAGGGAUAACAGCGUAAUUUUUUUAGAGAGAUCAUAUUAAUAAAAAAGUUUGCGACCUCGAUGUUGAAUUAAGAUAAAAUUUUAAUGUAGAAGUUAAAAAUUUUUGGUCUGUUCGACCAUUAAAAUCUUACGUGAUCUGA
rnacentral:rRNA from 1 species